rnacentral:rRNA from 1 species
GAUGAACGCUGGCGGCGUGCCUAAUACAUGCAAGUCGAGCGAACAGACGAGGAGCUUGCUCCUCUGACGUUAGCGGCGGACGGGUGAGUAACACGUGGAUAACCUACCUAUAAGACUGGGAUAACUUCGGGAAACCGGAGCUAAUACCGGAUAAUAUAUUGAACCGCAGUGUUCAAUAGUGAAAGACGGUUUUGCUGUCACUUAUAGAUGGAUCCGCGCCGCAUUAGCUAGUUGGUAAGGUAACGGCUUACCAAGGCAACGAUGCGUAGCCGACCUGAGAGGGUGAUCGGCCACACUGGAGCUGAGACACGGUCCAGACUCCUACGGGAGGCAGCAGUAGGGAAUCUUCCGCAAUGGGCGAAAGCCUGACGGAGCAACGCCGCGUGAGUGAUGAAGGUCUUCGGAUCGUAAAACUCUGUUAUUAGGGAAGAACAAAUGUGUAAGUAACUAUGCACGUCUUGACGGUACCUAAUCAGAAAGCCACGGCUAACUACGUG